rnacentral:rRNA from 1 species
AACGAACGCUGGCGGCAGGCUUAACACAUGCAAGUCGAACGCACCUUUCGGGGUGAGUGGCAGACGGGUGAGUAACGCGUGGGAAUCUACCCUUCUCUACGGGAUAGCUCCGGGAAACUGGAAUUAAUACCGUAUACGUCCUGCGGGAGAAAGAUUUAUCGGGGAAGGAUGAGCCCGCGUUGGAUUAGCUAGUUGGUGGGGUAAAGGCCUACCAAGGCGACGAUCCAUAGCUGGUCUAAGAGGAUGAUCAGCCACAUUGGGACUGAGACACGGCCCAAACUCCUACGGGAGGCAGCAGUGGGGAAUAUUGGACAAUGGGCGCAAGCCUGAUCCAGCCAUGCCGCGUGAGUGAUGAAGGCCCUAGGGUUGUAAAGCUCUUUCAGUGGGGACGAUAAUGACGGUACCCACAGAAGAAGCCCCGGCUAACUUCGUG